rnacentral:rRNA from 1 species
CCUACGGGGGGCUGCAGUAACGAAUCUUCGUCAAUGCCCGCAAGGGUGAACGAGCGACGCCGCGUGUGGGAUGAAGUCCUUCGGGAUGUAAACCACUGUCAGGGGAAAGAAAGUUCUGAUCUACCCCAGAGGAAGGCACGGCUAACUCUGUGCCAGCAGCCGCGGUAAGACAGAGGUGCCGAGCGUUAGGCGGAAUCACUGGGCUUAAAGCGUGUGUAGGCGGAUGCCUAAGUGCCUUGUGAAAUCCCACGGCUCAACCGUGGAAUGGCUGGGCAUACUGGGUGUCUUGAGCUGCCUAGGGGCAACUGGAACAAACGGUGGAGCGGUGAAAUGCGUAGAUAUCGUUUGGAACGCCAACGGUGAAAACAGGUUGCUGGGGGCAAGCUGACGCUGAGACACGAAAGCCAGGGGAGCAAACGGGAUUAGAUACCCCAGUAGUC